rnacentral:tRNA from 1 species
GGGCCUAUAGCUCAGCUGGCUAGAGCGCCGUGCUGAUAACGCGGAGGUCUCUGGUUCGACUCCAGAUGGGCCCACCA